rnacentral:rRNA from 1 species
GUCGAACGCUGGCGGCGUGCCUAAUACAUGCAAGUUGAGCGAUGAAGAUUGGUGCUUGCACCAAUUUGAAGAGCAGCGAACGGGUGAGUAACGCGUGGGGAAUCUGCCUUUGAGCGGGGGACAACAUUUGGAAACGAAUGCUAAUACCGCAUAAUAACUUUAAACAUAAGUUUUAAGUUUGAAAGAUGCAAUUGCAUCACUCAAAGAUGAUCCCGCGUUGUAUUAGCUAGUUGGUGAGGUAAAGGCUCACCAAGGCGAUGAUACAUAGCCGACCUGAGAGGGUGAUCGGCCACAUUGGGACUGAGACACGGCCCAAACUCCUACGGGAGGCAGCAGUAGGGAAUCUUCGGCAAUGGACGAAAGUCUGACCGAGCAACGCCGCGUGAGUGAAGAAGGUUUUCGGAUCGUAAAACUCUGUUGGUAGAGAAGAACGUUGGUGAGAGUGGAAAGCUCAUCAAGUGACGGUAACUACCCAGAAAGGGACGGCUAACUACGUG